rnacentral:misc_RNA from 1 species
UGAUCUUAUAAAAGAAGGACCCUAAUGAGUUAUCUAGAUUUUUAAAAUUUUAUACACACAUCUUAGCCUCAAUUCUAGGUUAUUUCUAUACAUAAAAUUAGGUUUUAGAGCCUUAGAAUGAAAAGGGAAAAUGGGCAGGUAGAAGCAACUUCGACUGCUGAAGUAGAGAACUUUAGCUGUCGAAGUCCUGAAUCUUAAAUAUCCUCUACUGAUAGUAGCUACUUUGGCUGUUAAAAUAGGAA